GUCAGGGAUGUUUGGGCAAACCUCUCACCGUGGCGUUGGAGUGCAGUCCAGCUCUGUCACUAAUGCUUAACCUUCCUAUGGGCUCAGUUUUCUCACUUGUAAAAAGGGGUCCCUAAUACUUGCGCACCUUACAGGAAGUAACAUAAGCCAGGGUAUUUGUGAGUGCGUUUUGGAAAGCAUAAAGCCCUCUUGCAAAUGUGAGAUGUUAUUAUUGCUUCCCUUACCCUGGCUCUAGUUCCAGCCCGGGGCCUGCCCACAGAAACCAGCUGUUCCUGUUUCCUCUGUGUCCCGCGGUAGCACCGAGGAGGCUGGUGCACUGGGCUCCGUGGUUCCCGCCCGGGCCCGCCGCAGCCGGCUCUGAGGAAGCGGCUCUGAGGAAGCAGCGCACCGCCAGCCUCGUCCUCGCGCCGGCGACCCUGGGGCGGGUCACCUCGCCGGGUCGAGGCCUCCCGGGCAGGCCUGGCGGAGGGAGGAGCGAGGCCUGCCUGCGGGAGACCCGGGGAGGCGCGUCAUGUGCAAAAGGACACUGUGAUGGAGUUUAUUACACAUAACAGCAAAUUCCAAAGCAGGAGUGGCAGCAGAAAACAAUGAAGGCAAAGGAAGUAAGCCCGGGAAGAGAAAGCAGUUUUUGGACAACAGUUCCUUCACCUCAGCAUUUUUCAUGGAUUUCAAAUAAGUGGUAACAAUAUUUUUAUUUGCACAUUUUCUUUGAAAAUAAAAAUGAUCUUAUUGAUUUUCAAAAAGGAAAUAAUCAGUGAGGUGGCAUAUUCUGAAGCAUCCAGAAGCUUUCUCUCCAACGAAAUUAUCUUCCUCAUUUUGCUUAAAUUUUACAUAAGUAGCUGAAUGGAGCUUUAAAGUGCUGACAAUCAAGAUCAACAAAGGCUGAGAAGUUACUACAUACAAUCCUGUGAUCCCUGAGCAUGAUACAUAGACUUUGAGAACUUUGAGGACAGGCUCUGUGCUCUGUUCAGUUUAGUGUCCUAAGGUCAAUGGCAUAUGGUGUUAUGCUAGGUACUUGGGAAACAGUCACUGUCUUUAGGAUGCUUAGUAGAUGUUCAAUAAAUGUUUAAGAUGUUGGGAGGAGCAGAUGUGAAAUGAUAACAAAAAGUAGUACAGGGUAAAUGUCCCAAGAGAAGUACAAAACUUGGAGAUGUAAAGGAGGAAAUUAUGGCUUUUCAGAGGGGUCAGGGAGAACCUUAUGAAGGGCAAGUAUUUGAAGAUAGAAAAGAUGGGCACUUAUUAUUAAAUGGAUGAAUACAAGCAUUAAAUUGCCAAAGGACAAAAAAUUCCAAGCAAACACAGAGGCAGGAAAGCAUUGCGAUUGUAGGAUUCAAGCAGAGGAAGAAAAGCGAAAUGUCUGGAGCAGCAGGUUGAGGAGACUGUGCUGUUGAGGCCUUGGACCCCAGUAGAUGUGAGGAGAGUGUGCUGGAUAUUUCUGUGAGCCUUAAUCCCACCUUGCUGGAGGUAAAUUUAAUUUGUCAUUUGGGUGUUCUCUCUUCUUCAGUCUCUCAGAGACUUUGUGGUUCCUUAAAACACAGGAGAAUUGCUCCUAAUUUUUGGCUCAUUAUGGUGGCCCUAUUGUUGAAGUUGUCAUGAACUGUUGAAUGGCAGUGACUCUGUUUCUCUGCUCUUCUUGGCCUGCAGGCAUCUUUCUUCACAAUGGAAGCCCUGUUGCCAAGGGUACAGCCUCCCUAGCUUCACCACACAGUUAGGCUCCGCAGAAUCCUUGUCUUCUUCCCCAGGUUCUGCUAGAAGUAGGACACAGGCCCCUUGAUGAUUGUGGAAACCACCACACCUUCCUGGUAUAGGGCAGUAGGGCAGUCUCCUUCUCUCCUUUGUUACUUCUGCUUCUACCUGUGUUCCUCCAGCAUAAUCCACUUCAGGAACCCAAGCUCUUGAAGACCAGGACACAAGCAGGUGUAGUAGGUCAUUUGCUUUCAAGCUUCUGCCACAGACUUCCCUGAAGUAAGGCGGCAAUUAGCCUGGCUACUUGCUUGGAAUAGGAGACGAAAACACUGGCAAUAAAAAGCACAAAUUAAUAGUUCAAUAAAUCAUCCUUCAUAUGCUUAACUGGGUGGACAGUGAGAAGGCACUUAAGGUUAAUGAAUAAUAGUAUUCAUACUUUAUUAUUCACUUUUUUUCCCAUUAGAUUAAGAAUGGAAAGAAAGAUGAAAAGCAAAAAGAAAGCACAGUAGAGGAUGCUAGAAAUUGGAGAUUUGGAGUAUACAGUCUUACCGGGAGCUCAUUUGUCAUGGCCAGCUUAACUCUGGGCUGCCCACUUCCUUUUUUCCUUCACUUCGUUUAAUCAAGGCUGAAGCAGGUGGCCCUAGUAAUAGGGUUGAGAGGUUUCCUGUUGCAUCUAGGUGGGAAUCAACUUUUCAUUUAUUCCUGGACAUUACAUUAACUUUGAAAGCUAUCUGUGGGGAUUUUUUAGCUGAGACCAUUUUCAAAUAGGCCUUCUGCGUAGGGAGAAAUUCACUAGGCCUCAAGUAACAGAAACCCAGAAAAAAAGUGACUUAAAAAAUUAGGGAUCCAAUUAUUCUUAUUUACAUCUGGAAGCAGAGUCAGGGCUCAUACUGAGGAUUUGUGAAGCCCCCAGGAUCCUCCUGUAUUUACGCUCAGUAAUCCUUACCAUGCUUUUGGGGCCUGGUGGUCACAAUACUGUGGCUCCACCUCCAACACGAUGUAUCUAGGAAGGAAGAAGGUAUGCACAAAGCAUCCAGUCACUUGAGUCUAUGUGCCUUUUAAAGAGCUUCCACAGAAGUUUCAUCCUUUGACUUUCACUUGUAUUUCAUUGGCCAGAACUGUGUUCCAUGGCCAUUCAUAGGUGCAGAGUGGGUGGGGAAAUAAAGUUUUCAGCUAGGCACAUUGCCACUGAGAAAAAUUCAGGUUGGUUUGUAAAGAAGAAAUGGAUAUUGAAUAGACAACUAACAGUGACUGCCACAUUCUGUACCAUUUUGUCCUUUUAUCCAAGUUAAUGUGCCUCCUGGGAGAGCAAACCAAAUUUUAGCGAACAUAAAUAAAUCUUCUAUCAAUGCAUCUCUCCUCUAUGCAUCCACCAAAAUGAAUCCACCAAAAAGAAAUAACUUUUGUAUUGGUAUCUCAUAUUAUGCAUAUUAUAAUUUCCCUCCAUUCACAUAGAUCAUACUGAAUUGAUUAUAUUUAGGGAUUCAUAAAUGUCGUUAUUUAGAAAGCUCCCUAUAAUGGCCAGUUCUUUGUUAAGUGUCUUUUAGUGCUUUCUUCUUCUCUCACUUUUUACUUUUCUAUGUGGGCUAUCAUCUCAUCUAUAUUGGUAGUUCAAUAACAACUUAUUUCCAACUUCCAUAUCUUUUUUUUUUUCUUUUUUUGAGAUGGAGUCCCACUCUGUCACCCAGGCUGGAGUGCAGUGGCACAAUCUCGGCUCACUGCAACCUCCACCUCCCUGGUUCAAGCAAUUCCCCUGCCUCAGCCUGCCGAGUAGCUGGGAUUACAGGCGCAUGCC
rnacentral:lncRNA from 10 species